AGUGGUGAGGGUUGGUGCUCCGUGCACGGCGGCGGCGUUUUACUUUACCUUGCGCGUGGAACUUAGCGGUUGAUAUUUCGCGUGUGGAUCUUUGCGGUUAAUUAACAUCUCGCGCGAGUGAUUGUGUGUGUGUGUGUGCGCGUUUUUUCUUCCCACGAUCAUUGUAUCAACGCGUCUAAUGUAAGUACCCCUAAACACUCCUCGUGGGACAUCGUCGUGGGACAUCGUCGCUGGAGCACCCCGUCGGCAUAGUAAGUGAAAGAUUCUGUUUCCUAGGGCGAUAGGAUGCUACUAACCACGUUUGCCUUCCAGGAACACUCACGCCUUUCUCUAGAUACUUCCAGAGCAGCAGCUUGGGUUACGUGCAUUGGCGGGGAGGAGGCCGGCAAUUGUACUUGCAUUGAUGGAGACGCGGCGCAAUCAAAGUCCUGGUUUGUGUGAAAUUGGCAAGAUCUGAGACGACGCUGAUACAGAAGCACGCAAAGUUGCAAUCUCAAGAAUACAGCCAAAGUUGCACAGCCGUGAAUGUUACAGAUGCCAAUAACACGUUCCCACCACAGCAACGAUUGUUAAAGGUGAGAAACGCUUUGGUUUGUUAACUUUUAACUAACUUUGCUUUGCAGGUAAUUAAUUCCUUACUUUGCAGGUGGAAUUAAAGUGGAGGUAAGAGGGUUUUUUUUAGGUCACUAACGCGUUGCCUUACAGAUGGUAUUAUGAAGGUAAGGGUUUCAAUAGGGCACUAACUCGUUACUUUGCAGGUGGUAUUGGUAUGAAGGUAAAGUUUAGGUAUCACUAACGCGUUGCCUUACAGAUUGUAUUAUGAAGGUAAGGGUUUCAAAAGGUCACUAACUAAUUACUUUGCAGGUGGUAUUGGUAUGAAGGUAAAGUUUAGGUAUCACUAACGCGUUGCCUUACAGGUUGUAUUAUGAAGGUAAGAGUUUCAAAAGGUCACUAACUAAUUACUUUGCAGGUGGUAUUGGUAUGAAGGUAAAGUUUAGGUAUCACUAACGCGUUGCCUUACAGAUUGUAUUAUGAAGGUAAGGGUUCAAAAGGGCACUAACUAAUUACUUUGCAGGUGGUAUUGGUAUGAAGGUAAAGUUUAGGUAUCACUAACGCGUUGCCUUACAGAUGGUAUUAUGAAGGUAAGAGUUUCAAACGGUCACUAAUUUAUUACUUUCCAGGUGGUAUUGAUCACUAACACCUUGCCUUACAGAUGGUCCAGGUGGUAUUGAUCACUAACACCUUGCCUUACAGAUGGUAUUAUAAAGGUAAUGGUUUAAAAAGGUCAUUAAUUACUUUACAGGUGGUAUGGAUGUGAAGGUAAGAUUGAAGGAUCACUAACGCGUUGCCUUCCAGGUCACACUAAUGCACUUCUAUUUCAAAAAGACACCACAAAUGAGGCUUUUCGAGAUUCAGAUGGCCGGGAGUGAAGGGGAUGGUGACGUGAUAGAUGGGAAGUGAAGAGGAUGGUGACGUGACCCUCCCCCCUUGCCACCGCUCGCUUCUUCAGUCAGUCAGUGGGUCAAUCAUCGCCGCAUGCUUCUCCGUCCGUCCGUCACCGCCGUUCACCGUUCGUUUCGUUAUUCACCGUCGCUCACUUUGCCGUUCUAUUGUUAUUUAAUGUCAUUACAGAAAUAAUGUUUGAAAAUAAAUGAGAUUGAUUAUAGAAAUGUCAAUAAAUGUUAUAUAGAAAUGUCAAUAAAUG
rnacentral:lncRNA from 1 species